AUACCUUUCUCGGCCUUUUGGCUAAGAUCAAGUGUAGUAUCUGUUCUUAUCAGUUUAAUAUCUGAUAUGUGAGGCCCUGCCCUCACAACGAUAUUAAAUUUAUUUGUUUUGGGGAGAGCCCGCUAUGGUAGCUCGCUACCUGGGCUAUUGAGUGUCGCUCUAGCGUUGCACUAUUGCUUGGGCCUGGCACACCCCAA
rnacentral:snRNA from 1 species